GUCUCGGUGGUCUAAAGGCUUAGGACGCUCGCACGGAAUGCAAGAGAUCCGGGUUCGACUCCCGGCCGAGGUA
rnacentral:tRNA from 1 species